rnacentral:tRNA from 1 species
GUCCGCGUGGCCUAAUGGAAAGGCGUCUGACUUCGGAUCAGAAGAGUGCGGGUUCGAGUCCUGUCGCGGACG